rnacentral:rRNA from 1 species
AGAGUUUGAUCAUGGCUCAGAAUCAACGCUGGCGGCGUGCCUAACACAUGCAAGUCGCACGAGAAAGGGUAGCAAUACCUGAGUACAGUGGCGCACGGGUGAGUAACACGUGAAUAAUCUACCUCCGAGUGGGGAAUAACUUAGGGAAACCUGAGCUAAUACCGCAUAACACUUACGAGUCAAAGCAGCAAUGCGCUUGGAGAGGAGUUCGCGGCAGAUUAGUUAGUUGGCGGGGUAAUGGCCCACCAAGACGAUGAUCUGUAUCCCGGCCUGAGAGGGCGCACGGACACACUGGAACUGAAACACGGUCCAGACUCCUACGGGAGGCAGCAGUGGGGAAUUUUGCGCAAUGGGGGAAACCCUGACGCAGCAACGCCGCGUGGAGGAUGAAAUCCCUUGGGAUGUAAACUCCUUUCGAUCGGGACGAUUAUGACGGUACCGGAAGAAGAAGCCCCGGCUAACUUCGUGCCAGCAGCCGCGGUAAUACGAGGGGGGCGAGCGUUGUUCGGAAUUAUUGGGCGUAAAGGGUGCGUAGGCGGUUUGAUAAGUCUGAUGUGAAAUCUAUGGGCUCAACCCAUAGUCUGCAUUAGAAACUGUCGGGCUUGAGUAUGGGAGAGGUGAGUGGAAUUUCCGGUGUAGCGGUGAAAUGCGUAGAUAUCGGAAGGAACACCUGUGGCGAAAGCGGCUCACUGGACCAUUACUGACGCUGAUGCACGAAAGCUAGGGGAGCAAACAGGAUUAGAUACCCUAGUAGUCC